rnacentral:rRNA from 1 species
UACGAAGGGGGCUAGCGUUGCUCGGAAUCACUGGGCGUAAAGGGUGCGUAGGCGGGUCUUUAAGUCAGGGGUGAAAUCCUGGAGCUCAACUCCAGAACUGCCUUUGAUACUGAGGAUCUUGAGUUCGGGAGAGGUGAGUGGAACUGCGAGUGUAGAGGUGAAAUUCGUAGAUAUUAGGAAGAACACCCGUGGCGAAAGCGGCUCUCUGGAACGGUACUGACGCUGAGACGCGAAAGCGUGGGGAGCGAACAGG